UACGAAGGGGGCUAGCGUUGUUCGGAAUUACUGGGCGUAAAGUGUGCGCAGGCGGCAGAGCAAGUCGAGUGUGAAAGCCCCGGGCUUAACUUGGGAAUUGCGCUCGAAACUACUUUGCUGGAGUGUGGCAGAGGAAGGUGGAAUUCCACGUGUAGCGGUGAAAUGCGUAGAGAUGUGGAGGAACACCAAUGGCGAAGGCAGCCUUCUGGGCCAACACUGACGCUCAUGCACGAAAGCGUGGGGAGCAAACAGG
rnacentral:rRNA from 1 species